rnacentral:rRNA from 1 species
AGUCGACGGGAAGACUGAAGAGCUUGCUCUUUAUGAAAUCCAGUGGCAAACGGGUGGGUAACACGUAAACAACCUGCCUUCAGGAUGGGGACAACAGACGGAAACGACUGCUAAUACCGAAUACGAUUCUUGAGUCGCAUGACACAAGAAAGAAAGGGUGGCCUCUACUUGUAAGCUAUCGCCUGAAGAGGGGUUUGCGUCCGAUUAGGUAGUUGGUGAGGUAACGGCCCACCAAGCCGACGAUCGGUAGCCGGUCUGAGAGGAUGAACGGCCACAUUGGAACUGAGACACGGUCCAGACUCCUACGGGAGGCAGCAGUGGGGAAUCUUCCGCAAUGGGCGAAAGCCUGACGGAGCAACGCCGCGUGAGUGAAGACGGCCUUCGGGUUGUAAAACUCUGUGAUUCGGGACGAAAGAUAAGUAGACGAAUAAUCUGCAUAAGUGACGGUACCGAAAAAGCAAGCCACGGCUAACUACGUGCCAGCAGCCGCGGUAAUACGUAGGUGGCAAGCGUUGUCCGGAAUUAUUGGGCGUAAAGCGCGCGCAGGCGGCUACUUAAGUCCAUCUUAAAAGUGCGGGGCUUAACCCCGUGAUGGGAUGGAAACUGAGAAGCUGGAGUGUCGGAGAGGAAAGUGGAAUUCCUAGUGUAGCGGUGAAAUGCGUAGAGAUUAGGAAGAACACCGGUGGCGAAGGCGACUUUCUGGACGACAACUGACGCUUAGGCGCGAAAGCGUGGGGAGCAAACAGGAUUAGAUACCCUGGUAGUCCACGCCGUANACGAUGGAUACUAGGUGUAGGAGGUAUCGACCCCUUCUGUGCC